rnacentral:rRNA from 1 species
UACGUAGGGGGCUAGCGUUGUCCGGAUUUAUUGGGCGUAAAGAGCGUGUAGGCGGCCAGGUAGGUCUGCUGUGAAAACUCGAGGCUCAACCUCGAGACGUCGGCGGAAACCAUCUGGCUAGAGUCCGGAAGAGGAGAGUGGAAUUCCUGGUGUAGCGGUGAAAUGCGCAGAUAUCAGGAGGAACACCGGUGGCGAAGGCGGAUCUCUGGGCCUUGCCUGACGCUGAGGCGCGAAAGCUAGGGGAGCGAACAGG